rnacentral:rRNA from 1 species
GUGAGUAACCUGCCCCUGACUCUGGGAUAAGCGUUGGAAACGACGUCUAAUACUGGAUAUGACUGCCGGCCGCAUGGUCUGGUGGUGGAAAGAUUUUUUGGUUGGGGAUGGACUCGCGGCCUAUCAGCUUGUUGGUGAGGUAAUGGCUCACCAAGGCGACGACGGGUAGCCGGCCUGAGAGGGUGACCGGCCACACUGGGACUGAGACACGGCCCAGACUCCUACGGGAGGCAGCAGUGGGGAAUAUUGCACAAUGGGCGAAAGCCUGAUGCAGCAACGCCGCGUGAGGGAUGACGGCCUUCGGGUUGUAAACCUCUUUUAGUAGGGAAGAAGCGAAAGUGACGGUACCUGCAGAAAAAGCACCGGCUAACUACGUGCCAGCAGCCGCGGUAAUACGUAGGGUGCAAGCGUUGUCC